rnacentral:rRNA from 1 species
UACGAGGGGGGCGAGCGUUUGUUCGGAAUUAUUGGGCGUAAAGGGCGCGUAGGCGGUGCGGUAAGUCACCUGUGAAACCCCCGGGCUCAACUCGGGGCCUGCAGGCGAAACUGCCGUGCUGGAGUGCGGAAGAGGUGCGGUGGUCGAAUUCCUGGUGUAGCGGUAGAAAUGGCGUAGAUAUCAGGAGGAACACCUGUGGCGAAAGCGGCGCACUGGACCACAACUGACGCUGAGGCGCGAAAGCUAGGGGAGCAAACAGG